rnacentral:tRNA from 1 species
GCUCCUGUGGUGCAAUCGGUCAGCGUGCGGUACUUAUAAUGCCGAGGUUGUGAGUUCGAGCCUCACCUGGGGCA